GGGGUUUUUUGUCAUAGCAUCACAAAAUUUGGUACAUACAUUUACCAUGCUGGGACGCACAAAAAAAGUCUCUUACUGUCAUGGUGAAAUAUUGACAGGAAGUCGGCCAUAUUGAUUUUAAGUUUCGAUUUUGAGCAAAUUUUUGCCAUUUCCA